UACCCAGCAAGAGUCUGAGGGUCUCUGC
rnacentral:piRNA from 1 species